rnacentral:rRNA from 1 species
AUUGAACGCUGGCGGCAGGCCUAACACAUGCAAGUCGAGCGAGCGGCGGACGGGUGAGUAAUGUCUGGGAAACUGCCUGAUGGGGGGGGAUAACUACUGGAAACGGUAGCUAAUACCGCAUACCAUCAGAUGCGCCCAGAGGGGCUUUGCUAGUAGGUGGGGUAACGGCUCACCUAGGCGACGCUCCCUAGCUGGUCUGAGGGGAUGGCCAGCCACACUGGAACUGGGACACGGGCCAGACGCCUACGGGAGGCAGCAGUGGGGAAUAUUGCAAAAUGGGGGCAAGCCUGAUGGAGCCAUGCCGCGUGUAGUAAGAAGGCCUUCGGGUUGGAAAGUACUUUCAGCGGGGAGGCGUUACCCGCAGGAGAAGCACCGGCUAACUCCGGGCCAGCAGCCGCGGUAAUUC